GAGUUUGAUCGUGGCUCAGGACGAACGCUGGCGGCGUGCCUAAUACAUGCAAGUCGAGCGAGUCUGCCUUGAAGAUCGGAGUGCUUGCACUCUGUGAAACAAGAUACAGGCUAGCGGCGGACGGGGUGAGUAACACGUGGGUAACCUGCCCAAGAGAUCGGGAUAACACCUGGAAACAGAUGCUAAUACCGGAUAACAACAGAUGAUGCCUAUCAACUGUUUAAAAGAUGGUUCUGCUAUCACUCUUGGAUGGACCUGCGGUGCAUUAGCUAGUUGGUAGGGUAACGGCCUACCAAGGCGAUGAUGCAUAGCCGAGUUGAGAGACUGAUCGGCCACAUUGGGACUGAGACACGGCCCAAACUCCUACGGGAGGCAGCAGUAGGGAAUCUUCCACAAUGGACGCAAGUCUGAUGGAGCAACGCCGCGUGAGUGAAGAAGGGUUUCGGCUCGUAAAGCUCUGUUGUUGGUGAGAAGGACAGGGUAGUAACUGACCUUU
rnacentral:rRNA from 1 species